rnacentral:lncRNA from 1 species
CCCUGAUCUCUCGGAAUUCGUUUUUUCAACUCCUUUCUGGAACCAGCAACAAACUCCAGGGCAUGAAGCACUUCAAUCGACCUUGGUCAAUGUAUUUCAUCAUAAUUGUAAAGAACUUAGACGAUUUUUUUGCAAUCGAUUCUGUUUCCAAACGCAAUCGAACUUAUGAUCAGUGACUGCACUCCAAAGUAUAGUUAUGGCUUAUCUUCGUGUGAGUUUCUAUGUUGUAGGUUGGAGCGAGAUGUUUGCUUACCUUUGAGAAACAUAUAUCUCAUCGCUGUCCUUCUAAUACACAUGUUUCUAGCGGGAUACGUAGGAUAGUUGUCAUAAUCCUGUAUGGCUUCUAUCGUUUCAGAAUUUUAUUUUGAGUAGUGUUCUUGUGCUUCUUCCAUAUGAUA